AGCGUGGGGGGCAUGCCUUUACACAUGCAGUCGAACGGCAGCACGGGUGCUUGCACCUGGUGGCGAGUGGCGAACGGGUGAGUAAUACAUCGGAACAUGUCCUGUAGUGGGGGAUAGCCCGGCGAAAGCCGGAUUAAUACCGCAUACGAUCUUUGGAUGAAAGCGGGGGACCUUCGGGCCUCGCGCUAUAGGGUUGGCCGAUGGCUGAUUAGCUAGUUGGUGGGGUAAAGGCCUCCCAAGGCGACGAUCAGUAGCUUGUUUGAGAGGACGACCAGCCACCCUGGGACUGAGACCCGGCCCAGACUUCUUCGGGAGGCAGCAGUGGGGAAUUUUGGACAAUGGGCGAAAGCCUGAUCCAGCAAUGCCGCGUGUGUGAAGAAGGCCUUCGGGUUGUAAAGCACUUUUGUCCGGAAAGAAAUCCUUGGCUCUAAUACAGUCGGGGGAUGACGGUACCGGAAGAAUAAGCACCGGCUAACUACGUGCCAGCAGCCGCGGUAAUACGUAGGGUGCAAGCGUUAAUCGGAAUUACUGGGCGUAAAGCGUGCGCAGGCGGUUUGCUAAGACCGAUGUGAAAUCCCCGGGCUCAACCUGGGAACUGCAUUGGUGACUGGCAGGCUAGAGUAUGGCAGAGGGGGGUAGAAUUCCACGUGUAGCAGUGAAAUGCGUAGAGAUGUGGAGGAAUACCGAUGGCGAAGGCAGCCCCCUGGGCCAAUACUGACGCUCAUGCACGAAAGCGUGGGGAGCAAACAGGAUUAGAUACCCUGGUAGUCCACGCCCUAAACGAUGUCAACUAGUUGUUGGGGAUUCAUUUCCUUAGUAACGUAGCUAACGCGUGAAGUUGACCGCCUGGGGAGUACGGUCGCAAGAUUAAAACUCAAAGGAAUUGACGGGGACCCGCACAAGCGGUGGAUGAUGUGGAUUAAUUCGAUGCAACGCGAAAAACCUUACCUACCCUUGACAUGGUCGGAAUCCUGCUGAAGAGGCGGGAGUGCUCGAAAGAGAACCGGCGCACAGGUGCUGCAUGGCUGUCGUCAGCUCGUGUCGUGAGAUGUUGGGUUAAGUCCCGCAACGAGCGCAACCCUUGUCCUUAGUUGCUACGCAAGAGCACUCUAAGGAGACUGCCGGUGACAAACCGGAGGAAGGUGGGGAUGACGUCAAGUCCUCAUGGCCCUUAUGGGUAGGGCUUCACACGUCAUACAAUGGUCGGAACAGAGGGUUGCCAACCCGCGAGGGGGAGCUAAUCCCAGAAAACCGAUCGUAGUCCGGAUUGCACUCUGCAACUCGAGUGCAUGAAGCUGGAAUCGCUAGUAAUCGCGGAUCAGCAUGCCGCGGUGAAUACGUUCCCGGGUCUUGUACACACCGCCCGUCACACCAUGGGUAGUGGGUUUUACCAGAAGUGGCUAAGUCUAACCGCAAAGGAGGACGGUCACCACGGUAAGGAUCUGUGG
rnacentral:rRNA from 1 species